rnacentral:lncRNA from 1 species
GGGUAAACUUCAAAUACCACCCUGUGGUUGCGCACUUUCUCAUUUUAGUAUCACGUGGUUUCAUUUUUUUUUCUUGUCGUCAGAUUUUUUUUUCGUUAAAUCAUUGACAAAGUUAAAACUAAAAAAUAUUAAAGUGAAUAUUCCAUGAAUCUAUGUGGGGUAUCUGAAGUUUUUUGUAUAUAAUUUAACUAAAGGAAAAUGAAAUCAAAGGGUACUAAAUUGAUAAACUUUAAACAACAGGGCAUUAAAGUGAGAAAUUGUCAAAGUUUUUUUUUUUUUUUUUUUUUUUUUUUCAAUAGUUCCUGAGGAUGUGCACUACAAUUUGGAGAAUAAAUUUUAGAAGGAAUAUUUCUCUGUCCCCACUACCGCAGAAAAUAAACUCAGGAGGAAAGUUAAUUGGGUUUGCAUUUUACAUCAGAGGAAAUGGCAUAAGAAUAUGUAGGGGACAAACUUUGGUGAAGAGAGAAAGUGCAUGAAAUACUACGACCACAAGCAAUUAUUGAGACCAAAAGCAAUUAUUGAGCGGUCGUAGGUUUUUUUUUCAAGGUCAGAGAUUUGAUACUCUGUUUGUAAUUUCACAAGUUAAGCUUAAAAAUCGUGUAUACUAAUUAUUAGAGGGAUAUAAUUAUAGAUAAAGAAAUGGUAUUGUAAGGUACUGGACUUCUAAAAUUAUGAAGUUACGGUGUGCAUUUGAUUGGAAAGCCAUUUGAAUCGUCCCGGCAAAGUUUGGUGAAGUUCGGAAGCCUUCAGGCGUUUCGGCGCGCGUAGGAGUGGAAACGAAAUCCGAAAGGCUAUAUUGGGCCGUGAGCUAAAAUCGGCAUUAGCGUAGAUGAAAAGAUGAUGAAAAUACGCUCGAAAAUAUGUUUGAAGAGUCUCGGUUCGAUUUGAAAUGAAUCGGAGGUCAAACGAGUGAAAACGGAGCGAAAACGGAUGAAGCUGAAAUUUGACUAAGUCUGGGCUGGAGGUCCCUCUGGGACCGGUCCCUGGCAGUGAGGGACCGGUCCCCGAACGCGAAAAUGCCCAUUUUGGACUGUUUGAGAGGCUAAGAGUUGUG